rnacentral:rRNA from 1 species
GACGGAGGAUGCAAGCGUUAUCCGGAAUGAUUGGGCGUAAAGCGUCCGCAGGUGGCAGUUCAAGUCUGCUGUCAAAGACCGGGGCUUAACUUCGGAAAGGCAGUGGAAACUGAACAGCUAGAGUAUGGUAGGGGCAGAGGGAAUUCCUGGUGUAGCGGUGAAAUGCGUAGAGAUCAGGAAGAACAUCGGUGGCGAAGGCGCUCUGCUGGACCAUAACUGACACUCAGGGACGAAAGCUAGGGGAGCGA